rnacentral:rRNA from 1 species
AUUGAACGCUGGCGGCAUGCCUUACACAUGCAGGUCGAACGGCAGCACGGGGCAACCUGGUGGCGAGUGGCGAACGGGUGAGUAAUGCAUCGGAACGUACCUUUCAGUGGGGGAUAACGUAGCGAAAGUUACGCUAAUACCGCAUAUUCUGUGAGCAGGAAAGCAGGGGAUCGCAAGACCUUGCGCUGAUUGAGCGGCCGAUGUCAGAUUAGCUAGUUGGUGAGGUAAAGGCUCACCAAGGCGACGAUAUGUAGCGGGUCUGAGAGGAUGAUCCGCCACACGGGAACUGAGACACGGUCCAGACUCCUACGGGAGGCAGCAGUGGGGAAUUUUGGACAAUGGGGGCAACCCUGAGCCAGCCAUGCCGCGUGAGUGAAGAAGGCCUUCGGGUUGUAAAGCUCUUUCGGCCGGGAAGAAAUCGCACGGGCUAAUACCCUGUGUGGAUGACGGUACCGGAAUAAGAAGCACCGGCUAACUACGUGCCAGCAGCCGCAGUAAAAC